UUUCUCCGAGAAUAUCGGCGAGUUUUCUACCAAAAGUUUCUCAUAGAUUUUAUCUGUGAAAUAUUGGCAUCGACUGGAAUCUACUUUUUCAAGACAGACAGCAUAUCAGUAUAAAAACAUGUUUCCUGGAUUUUCGUUGAUGAUCAUGGGAGUGUUCGAAUUACGGAAAUGGUGGGGAAAGAAAAAUUUUAAAAGAAAUGAGAAAAGUCUCAUCAUAAACCCGAAAGAUUUGGGAACUAAUGUUGACACGGGACUGAACGAAGAGGAGUUCGAUAGAUUAG